CUCCUACGGGAGGCAGCAGUGGGGAAUAUUGCACAAUGGGGGAAACCCUGAUGCAGCCAUGCCGCGUGUAUGAAGAAGGCCUUCGGGUUGUAAAGUACUUUCAGUCGUGAGGAAGGGUGUGCAGUUAAUAGCUGUWYAUCUUGACGUUAGCGACAGAAGAAGCACCGGCUAACUCCGUGCCAGCAGCCGCGGUAAUACGGAGGGUGCGAGCGUUAAUCGGAAUUACUGGGCGUAAAGCGCAUGCAGGCGGUUAGUUAAGCGAGAUGUGAAAGCCCGGGGCUCAACCUCGGAACAGCAUUUCGAACUGGCUAACUAGAGUCUUGUAGAGGGGGGUAGAAUUUCAGGUGUAGCGGUGAAAUGCGUAGAGAUCUGAAGGAAUACCGGUGGCGAAGGCGGCCCCCUGGACAAAGACUGACGCUCAGAUGCGAAAGCGUGGGGAGCAAACAGGAUUAGAUACCCUGGUAGUCCACGCCGUAAACGAUGUCUACUUGGAGGUUGUGGCCUUGAGCCGUGGCUUUCGGAGCUAACGCGUUAAGUAGACCGCCUGGGGAGUACGGUCGCAAGAUUAAAACUCAAAUGAAUUGACGG
rnacentral:rRNA from 1 species